rnacentral:lncRNA from 1 species
GCUUCACAAGACAGUGAAACCUGAGCGUCUCUUAAGUUACUAAGAAACUUUUGUCUGUUUUAGAUUUUUCUGAUGUCUGGAAGGACACACUUUGAUAGGUGAGUUCCUGUUAUUCUGUGGGAAAGCAGGCUGCGGCUGUCAACAGAGACACAUUUUUGUGUGAGAGAAGAAUAUAUCCAUGGUUUGGUGCGUCUGUACAGAUCAUGAUGUGAAGCACAGCAGGUUGUCUAUGCAAGUGUCCACAAGAGGGAUGGCGACCAAACGAUUGAGUAGAUGGAGUUUUGGAUUCUGGAGCCAUCUGGAUUAUGUGUUUUUCCUGUUCCUGUUCCUGCUGUGCCUUCCAGUAACAUCAAGCACAAAUGCCACAACAGUUGGGUUUUCAGCCGUCACAACACCUACAGGACCCCCAAAUUCAACAACAGUGACAGGAGCAACCACAGCUAACAUUACCACAAUGCAUUCAUCUUCAACCGAAGGUCACAGUAGCUCAUCAACACUGCCAUUAACAACAAGCCAUGUUACUGUGCAAAAUACAACAACAAUGGUGGAAACCACAGCCACAUCUUCUAACAUAAGCACAACAAUCCCAGCAACAACAUUUACGAAGGAAUUACAUAGCACUGAUAAUCGACCUGUGGAAACCACACCAUACACAUCCACUGAAAACAUGACUUCUUUUGAAACAACUGCAAACUUCACAUCCACUGAAAACACGACUUCUUUUGAAACAACCGCAAGCUUCACAUCCACUGAAAACACGACUUCUUUUGAAACAUCUGCAAACUUCACAUCCACUGAAAACACGACUUCUUUUGAAACAACCGCAAGCUUCACAUCCACUGAAAACACGACUUCUUUUGAAACAUCUGCAAACUUCACAUCCACUGAAAACACGACUUCUUUUGAAACAACCGCAAGCUUCACAUCCACUGAAAACACGACUUCUUUUGAAACAUCUGCAAACUUCACAUCCACUGAAAACACGACUUCUUUUGAAACAACUGCAAACUUCACAACAUUUACAGCAACAACCGAACCAUCGUCCUCCGCCAAUAUAACUGAUGCAACACCACUGCUGACAACCAUUAACCAAACAUUAACACCAUCUGUGUUUUACUGGAUGACUAUAUCCUAUGAGGUAACAGUAGGACACCAACGUGAACAAAAUCUCAAAACAAUGUUUGAGUGGUUGUUCAAAGGCAACCUAGACGCAUGUGCAGUUUCCAGUGAGACUGGUACUGUGGAACGUUCUGUGGUGUCACAAUCAGACAGCAUAUCUGACGACGGGAUUUAUAAUGUGCUCACCAGUUCAGAAACAAAGAAAACGGGCCUGUUUGAAGCCAUGGAGUUCACAUGCGAACCAAAAAAUAUUACAAUGUUAGUAUCAGUUGUUGCACUAAUCCUUUUUUAA